GUUGUGGACUCUUAAUACCAUCUCCAAACAGCAGUCUUACAAUGGUAAUGACAGUAUUUCAGAGCUGUUCAAAUGCAUGUUCCCAGAUUCCGACAUCGCUACCACAUUUACUUGUGGUCCUGACAAAACGGCGUACAUAGCCAAGUUUGGUUUAGCUGUCUAUAUAAAAGAGGAACUGGUGUCCCAAGUCAACAAAUCGCCGUUCGUUCUGAUGUUCGACGAGAGUCUCAACGAGACUACGAAAAACAAACAGCUGGAUGUGCAUGUCCGCUUCUGGAACGAGGGACAGGUUCAGUCCAGAUAUCUGGGCUCCCAGUUUAUGGGACAUUCCACUGCACAAGACCUGCUGUCACAUCUCAAAGUAAGCAUGACCCUUUUUACUCUACUUUCCUUAACAAUGUUUGUUUAUGUGUUUAUGUACUUGGCAGACGCUUUUGUCCAAAGCAAAUACCGUAUUUUCCGCACUGUAAGGCGCACCGGAGUAUAAACCGCAGCAGCUAAAUUGAAUGAUGUGUACAUAUAUAAGACGCACUGGACUAUAAGCCGCAGGUGUUUUAAUGUUUAAUUACCAUUAGGGCUGGCCCGAAUGCCAUUUUUCAGGCUUCGGAUACUCGUUGGUUUUUCCGAGCGAUUAAUCGAAUACUCGUUCCAGAAAAAAACACCACCAAAAAUAACAUUAAUAAUCCCUAUAUACUCCCUGGAACCGAUUAUGACAGUAUCUGCAUAUUUUGUUGAAGAUUUAAUAGCUUUUUACCGUUAAUUAGUAGGCCUAAGUAGGUUGAAGUUCCUUAGUUUUUCCCUGUGGAAGCGAACAGCUGUUGUUCCGUUCCGAAUCAAGUGUGUGUGUGUGUGUGUGUGUGUGUGUGUGUGUGUGUGUGUGUGUGUGUGUGUGUGUGUGUGUGUGUGUGUGUGUGUGUCAAUAUGUGAUGCUCACCUAGUCCUCUUAUUUUGAGUAAUGAAAUGCAGCCCUUUUUUCAGGAAUGUAUGGACAAACUGAACCUCAGGAACUUGGUGUCUAUUUCAAUGGAUGGGCCCAAUGUGAAUUGGAAACUCUUCGACCUUUUCCAGAAAGAUCAAGCUGAGCAGUACGGAGGUCUUCAGCUCGUUUGUGUGGGAAGCUGUGGCCUACACACGCUACACAACUCCUUCAAGUGUGGGUUCACUGUAUGGCAGCUGGACAAAUUGCUGAGAGCAAUGCACACAUUGUUUCACAAUACGCCUGCCAGGAGAGAGGAUUACAUCACCGUAACCAAGUCCAGUGUGUUCCCUCUAUCUUUCUGUGCCCAUCGUUGGGUAGAAAACCUUCCGGUUGUGGAGAGAGCCCUGGCAGUCUGGCCAUCACUUCUCCUGUACAUGGAAGCUGUGAAAACAAAGAGACUCCCGAACCCUGGAACAGCAUCAUAUGACACACUUGCAGCAGCCAUAAAGGAUCCACUCGUCUUGGCCAAAUUGCAGUUCUACGCAGCAAUUGCCAGGACCUUCAAUCCCUUCCUGAAAAAAUAUCAGACGGAUGAGCCUGUGCUCCCAUUCCUCCCCAAGGACCUGACCGAGUUGAUGAUGAGUCUACUCAGACGCUUCAUAAAAAGAGAAGUACUACACGAUAUCACUGCCCUGCAGCUGACCAAACUGGAUGUCACAGACAAGACCAUCUGGCUCAGCCCACAAGACAUCAGCAUUGGUCUAGGUGCAGAGUCAGUCCUUAAGAGAAUCAAAGGUGCAGAACUCAGGGUGCUCGAGUUCAAGAGAGAGUGCAUGCAGGGACUGAGUAACAUGAUCAAGAAAGUGCAGGACAAGAGCCCCCUCAAGUAUCUGACUGUUAGGCAGAUGGUGUGCCUGGAUCCGUCAGUAAUGUAUAGAGAACCAGAUAGAGGCAGGAAUCGCAUGAAAGGGCUGGUUCAAAGGUUUCUCCAGGACAAACAGCUUACUGAUACUUCUUUGGGGGAUGUCAUACUGCAGCAGUUUGACAGUCUCCUGUCCUUGGAGAGCCGGAGUGAGGACUUCCUCUCCUUUCAACCCAUGCAAAAGAGGCUGGACAUCUUCCUGAGCAGCGCCAUGGAGCCUUAUCCCGAGCUGUGGGCCUUCUGCAAGAAGCUGCUCAUCCUCUCCCACGGUCAAGCUACAGUUGAGCGUGGAUUCUCAAUCAAUAAAGAGGUGGAGUCUGAUAACUUGGAGGAGGAUACUGUGGUCACACGGAGACUGGUGUGGAAUCUGGUUCUCUUUCCCCAACCCGAUACCCAGGUUCCACUCAGUAAACCGCUACUGGAAAGUGUAGCAAGGGCAAGGACAAGGUAUCGUACCCAUCUGGAGACCAAAAGAAGGAACAGGGAGGCAAAAGAGCAGGCUCUCAAGAGGAGGGAAGCAGAGGACUGUCUUGAGGAGCUGAAGGUUAAGAGGAGACGUGUACAGGAGGUAUCUGAGGGUCUGGCUAGGGAUGCGGACAAGAUGGCUGAGGAGGCUGAAGCGAAGGCAGGGAGCAAGAUGGCUGGCCUGAUCAUGUUGGGCAAAAUAACCUGCUGA
rnacentral:lncRNA from 1 species